GUGUGGAUCCGUGGCGACCUCCUCCAUCAACUGGAAGAUUCUGCACACCCUACCCUAGAGGCCAUCGUAUGAUCUCCUUGGCACAUCCACCUCCUGUACCAGGUUCGGGACCAUCCCAAACCCCUCCACCUGCACCACUUGGGCCUUUUGCGGAUCCACAUGUUGCUCCUGUGAGUAACAACAACACUGACUCUACCAAAGGGACCACGAAGGACAAGGCCAUUAUGAAUGCAAGAGGGCCUGGUCCUUCCCCAGGAUCGCCUUGCAGGCUGUCCCCCACGGACCACCCUUCACCACCAGUCACGGGCUAUGGGCCACCUCCUCCACCAGCUCCUCCACGUACUACAUUUGGUAAGAUGACCUGAACUGGAUGAGUGACUGAUCAAGUGUAUUCGUCUUCUUGGUGAAAGACUUGGUGGGAAUGAUGUAGGGAUGCUUGUGAGGGCUUGGCAAUUCAACUGCAAACCUGCCUGGGGACAGUGUCACAUAUCUCACGUUUCUCAGGACAUAGUGUACAAUGGGCUGUGUCAUUUCCCUGUAAUGAGGUCAGCUGUAGGUUUCUCUUGUC